rnacentral:rRNA from 1 species
AACGAACGCUGGCGGCAUGCCUAACACAUGCAAGUCGAACGAGACCUUCGGGUCUAGUUGCGCACGGGUGCGUAACGCGUGGGAACCUGCCCUUAGGUUCGGAAUAACUCCCCGAAAGGGGUGCUAAUACCGGAUAAUGUCUUCGGACCAAAGAUUUAUCGCCUUUGGAUGGGCCCGCGUUGGAUUAGCUAGUUGGUAGGGUAAAAGCCUACCAAGGCGACGAUCCAUAGCUGGUCUGAGAGGAUGAUCAGCCACACUGGGACUGAGACACGGCCCAGACUACUACGGGAGGAAGCAGUGGUGAAUAUUGGAAAAUGGGCGAAAGCCUGAUCAAGCAAUGCCGCGUGAGUGAUGAAGGCAUUAGGGUUGUAAAGCUCUUUUAACCGGGAUGAUAAUGACAGUACCGGGAGAAUAAGCGCCGGCUAACUCCGUG